GCGGAGCUAUAUAUAGCUGCUUCUUCCAUUCUUGGUCAUCUCAGAAAUUCCAUAAACUUCAUUUGAAAGAAUAUAUCAUCUUUUUCCUCUCCAUGAGCUACAUGUAUAAGCAUUGGGUUAGGAAUGGGUAAUCUGCAUCUUGAGGCUUCCAGUGAACUUGUCCAGCGAGGCAUGAUCAUCAAAGACAAAGGGGACUGAUGGAUAGGUGGACGCCUGCAAACUCAGAUCAGUUCCUCCAGCUAUUGUGGACUUUAGGAAUCAUGAACGGUCUUGACGUGCCUACGUUGGCCUAGAGGUUUAGAAAUAUAGCUGUUUAUUCAGAGAGUAUAGAAGAUAUAUUAACUUGAUUACUAGGGGAUGUGAGCAGACUCAUCCGUUUUGGGAUAUUACUAUCAAUGAUGCUAGAGUACUGGUUUACAGGAACUGACAGGUUUUGCGGAGCUAUAGUUGCAAGGAUGACUUUACACACUUUGUGACUACUUAGCUAAGAACUCCCAUAAUAUGGAGACUAAUUUUUGUAUCAUUAAUCAACUUCCACUUAUUAAUCAAGAGGUGGAGAUUGAUGAGGGAAACUAGUGUAUGAUCUUGAUGUACUCUUUCUGAUGAAGCAAUGUAUUUCAGUUUUGUAUUAAUAAAAAAAGAAGAAAAAAUUAUUUGCCA